rnacentral:RNase_P_RNA from 1 species
ACAACAGUUCUUUCUAUCGCUUCCGCAUAAAGCGGGGGAGGAAAGUCGGGACAACACAGAGCGCCAUACUUCCUAACGGGAAGGCUUCCAGGAUCCUGAAAAGGCCAGGAAGACAGACAGGGCCACAGAAAAUUACCGCCCCGUGUAUUCGGGGUAAGGGUGAAAACGCGAGGUAAGAGCUCACGGAUCUGCCUGGUGACAGGCAGAUGGGGUAAACCUUAUGGGUUGAAAGACCAAGCAUACCGGUUGUCAAGGGUUGCUCGUCCAAUGCCGGGGGGUAGGUCGCUUAAGCCGACUGGUGACAGGCGGCUCAGAUAAAUGAUAGAAUAGUACAGAAUCCUGCUUAUAGAACUGUUGUUUUU